AAGGUAUUGAAAUAAGAUUUUAAAUGAGUGCUAAGAGAAUGAUUGAACAAUUAUAGGCUUUCUUUAGUUAAAUAAUUAAAUUUAAUUUUUUUAGUGCAAAAGCAAAAAUUAAAUUUAGGGACAAGAAGACCCUAUGAAUUUUAAUUUAAUUUAUAAUUUGAAAUUUUAAAUUAAAUUUGAUUGGGGCGAUGGAAAAAGAAUAAGUAUCUUUUUUAGUUUUAAAAAUUGGUUCCGUUUUUAACGAUUAAAUGAGAAAAAUACUCUAGGGAUAACAGCGUAAA
rnacentral:rRNA from 1 species